rnacentral:rRNA from 1 species
UUGGAGGUUGUGCCCUUGAGGCGUGGCUUCCGGAGCUAACGCGUUAAGUAGACCGCCUGGGGAGUACGGCCGCAAGGUUAAAACUCAAAUGAAUUGACGGGGGCCCGCACAAGCGGUGGAGCAUGUGGUUUAAUUCGAUGCAACGCGAAGAACCUUACCUGGUCUUGACAUCCACAGAAUUCUGCAGAGAUGCGGAAGUGCCUUCGGGAACUGUGAGACAGGUGCUGCAUGGCUGUCGUCAGCUCGUGUUGUGAAAUGUUGGGUUAAGUCCCGCAACGAGCGCAACCCUUAUCCUUUGUUGCCAGCGAUUAGGUCGGGAACUCAAAGGAGACUGCCAGUGAUAAACUGGAGGAAGGUGGGGAUGACGUCAAGUCAUCAUGGCCCUUACGACCAGGGCUACACACGUGCUACAAUGGCGCAUACAAAGAGAAGCGACCUCGCGAGAGCAAGCGGACCUCAUAAAGUGCGUCGUAGUCCGGAUUGGAGUCUGCAACUCGACUCCAUGAAGUCGGAAUCGCUAGUAAUCGUGGAUCAGAAUGCCACGGUGAAUACGUUCCCGGGCCUUGUACACACCGCCCGUCACACCAUGGGAGUGGGUUGCAAAAGAAGUAGGUAGCUUAACCUUCGGGAGGGCGCUUACCACUUUGUGAUUCAUGACUGGGGUGAAGUCGUAACAAGGUAACCGUAGGGGAACCUGC